rnacentral:rRNA from 1 species
UACGAAGGGGGCUAGCGUUGUUCGGAAUUACUGGGCGUAAAGCGCGUGUAGGCGGGUCUUUAAGUCAGGGGUGAAAUGCCAAGGCUCAACCUUGGAACUGCCUUUGAUACUGGAGAUCUUGAGUCCGGGAGAGGUGAGUGGAAUUGCGAGUGUAGAGGUGAAAUUCGUAGAUAUUCGCAAGAACACCAGUGGCGAAGGCGGCUCACUGGGCCGGAACUGACGCUGAGACGCGAAAGCGUGGGGAGCAAACAGG